rnacentral:rRNA from 1 species
CAUUUACAGGACCGGGGCAACUCAAAAUCGCACGAGGCCCCUGCCUUCCACGCACCCCCCCUCCCGGAAAUUUGGUCGUGCGCCGGCAAAAGCGGGGGCUUCAAACAAGGCUGAGUGCCGUGGCUUAGUCCCCCCCAUAAACGAAGAAUUUUGAACAUUGGCGAAACCAUGUCCAGUUUCUGAGGGAAAGCAAUACGUUAUCCCCUUGGGAAGGUCGACCGCCCGGGGUGAACUUCAAAGGAAUUGGCGGGGGUUCGGCCUAGGCGGUGAGGCAUGGGGCUUAAUUCGAUGAUCCGCGGGGGACCUUACCCGCGGCUAGAAUCCAUUUUGCCCGUGGGGGAAAGGUCCAUUGGUAGCAAUACACAAUUUUUAAGGUGCUGCAUGGCUGUCGUCAGCUCGUGCCGUGAGGUGUUGGGUUAAGUCCAGCAACGAGCGCAACCCCUAUCAGUAGUUGCCAUCAGGUAAUGCUGGGAACUCUACUGAAACUGCCGUCGUAAGACGUGAGGAAGGAGGGGAUGAUGUCAAGUCAUCAUGGCCUUUAUGCCCAGGGCUACACACGUGCUACAAUGGGUGCGACAAAGGGCUGCCACUUGGUAACAAGGCGCUAAUCCCAAAAACGCACUCUCAGUUCGGAUUGCAGGCUGCAACUCGCCUGCAUGAAGCUGGAAUCGCUAGUAAUCGUAGAUCAGCAACGCUACGGUGAAUACGUUCCCGGACCUUGCACACACCGCCCGUCCAGCCAUGGAAGCCGGGUGUACCUAAAGUCGGUAACCGCAAGGAGCUGCCUAGGGUAAAAUCGGUGACUGGGGCUAAGUCGUAACAAGGUAAGUCCA